ACGGGGCGCGGUGGCACACGCCUGUAGUCCCAGCUACUCGGGAGGCUGAGACAGGAGGAUCGCUUGAGUCCAGGAGUUCUGGGCUGUAGUGCGAUAUGCCGAUCGGGUGUCCGCAAUAAGUUCCGCAUCAAUAUGGUGACCUCCCGGAAGCGGGGGACCACCAGGUUGCCUAAGGAGGGGUGAACCAGCCCAGGUCGGAAACGGAGCAGGUCAAAACUCCCGUGCUGAUCUGAAAUAAACCCCCUUUCUCCUGUAAGUUUUUAUUUUCCAGGUACUUAGUCACAGCAACAAGAAACAUUCCUAU
ensembl:misc_RNA Metazoa_SRP Metazoan signal recognition particle RNA